CAGUCGCCGCGGUAAUACGAAGGGGGCUAGCGUUGCUCGGAAUUACUGGGCGUAAAGGGCGCGUAGGCGGACAGUUCAGUCGGGGGUGAAAGCCCGGGGCUCAACCUCGGAAUUGCCUUCGAUACUGGCUGUCUUGAGUAUGAGAGAGGUGUGUGGAACUCCGAGUGUAGAGGUGAAAUUUGUAGAUAUUCGGAAGAACACCAGUGGCGAAGGCGACACACUGGCUCAUUACUGACGCUGAGGCGCGAAAGCGUGGGGAGCAAACAGGAUUAGAUACCCCUGUAGUCCCUGUCUCUUAUAC
rnacentral:rRNA from 1 species